rnacentral:rRNA from 1 species
UGCCUCAUACAUGCAAGUCGAGCGUCCGCCGUAAGGCGGAAGCGGCGAACGGGUGAGUAACACGUGAACAAUCUUCCCUCUGGUGGGGGAUAGCCAGCCUAACGGCUGAUUAAUACCGCAUAGCGUAUGGGGAAGGCAUCUUUUCCAUACAAAAGAUUUAUCGCCAGAGGAUGAGUUCGCGUCCCAUUAGCUUGUUGGCGGGGUAACGGCCCACCAAGGCUACGAUGGGUAUCCGGCCUGAGAGGGUGUACGGACACAUUGGGACUGAGAUACGGCCCAGACUCCUACGGGAGGCAGCAGUAGGGAAUUUUGCGCAAUGGGGGAAACCCUGACGCAGCAACGCCAUGUGUGGGAUGAAGCAUUUCGGUGUGUAAACCAC